CCAGACAAAGUCUGGGGACACAAAUCUCACACGUUCUCAACCUACAGGUGAAAAAGGCAGACCUGGAAGAACUAAACAUAGGGACACACUAUCCUACGCAUGCCUCUUGAUGAUACGAAGAAGCACCGCCAGAGCGAGAGUGAGGCAGGAAGACCUUAUUCUGUCGAUGACGAUGGGGUCGUCUCAUCAUCGUCGAACAAAACACAAAGCAUUAGUUUAUGCCUAACCCUACCACCACCCGAACCGAAGCGUUGGGUCCUCACCACCUCUCACCCCAGAGCGACAAACUAAAGGAGAAGGGACCAACGGUCUCGCCAGGAAGGGGGUAGAUCAGGCGCCGCCCCUAGACACCUAGGUCAUGGGAGCUAGGAAGAGGGAAACGAUUCUUUAACGGGCUUAUAUAGUUUUUUUUGGCAGAUUAUUUUAACAAAGUACAAUCACUUAUAUAGUUGAUUACUUAGUUUAGCAUCCAGGAUGUUCCAACAUUUUACUUGGAUGCACUAAGACAUUUUUUGCUUCAUGCAUGUUUGAAGAUGACAUGUACUUACUCUGGAAUUGUCUUCUCUCAUUUGUUAUUUUCUUGAGCAAUGCUAUUCUCACAUUUAGCUCCAAGCGGUUAUUAUCCCUAUUGUAGUCGUUUUCUUUUAAGUGUAUGAAAGAAUAGGACUUUUGUAUUUAUUAGUUUGUUAAAUCAAAGAGCACCAUGCAUCUAAAAGGAAACCGAGCAGCCUACAUCAUAAUUCCAUUGCUUGAUUUCUAGAAGGGAAAAAAGGGAGAAAUGACUGUCUCUGAACUCUGUGCUAGGUUUAAAUUGUCAUGUUUACGACCAUAAAGGCGUGCCUUGCCGCGCCCGCCCACCUUAGAGACAUUUUUACAGAAUAAUAAGACAUCUUAAUGAAAGAAUGAUAGAACUAAAUGAGAAAAAAUAGAUAUUGGACUAUUUGGAACCGUCACAAUUUUGUUCUAUCUCCCACCAUAUUAUUUAAUUAUAUCUUCAAAAUAACCAUGCAUCUAAUUUUAGAUAUAGAGUCCGUACAAAAGUAAGUUAUAAUAUGUGCCAAAGGUGGGCAAAAUAAACUCUUUCUUCACAUGCAUCAUAGAAAAGAACAUCUUCACGCGUGUUGCCACGCCCUUCUACCUAGAGAGAAACGUAAUAAUAUGUGGGAGAUUUGGACUAUAUACAUAUAUAAAAACACAUAUUCAUAUUCUUUUCCUAUAACUCUUGAAUUGCGGAUUUCCGUAAAAAAAACAGUAAUCUUGGAAAACUUUCAAUUAUUUUAAAGACAAAAUCAUUCAAACAAGUCAAAUUUUCGAUCAAAUUUUGUUGAGUUUGAGCAAAUCAUAUAAAAAAUGAAAAAUACAUGUAUGUAUUUGGUUCUACCGGUGGUGGCCAGAAAAGCAUCAAGAGUUGGUUGUGUAGUAUACCUGAUAGAUCUCUCUCGUGAGGUGUGAGAGGUGAGAGGAACAUGAGUAGUUGCGUCAGGCUAAAUGUAAAUUUAAAUGAAUUUUUCGUUCAAUAAUAUGUAGACUGGUGAGCAGCCGACCGAGGAGUCUCUCGUACGUGUGCAGGGGCAGAAAGAGGCUCGCAACGAAGAUGUGUUGUCCCCCUUUGACUACCACCAGGCUAGGUCCGGCCCAUCUUUUAUUUCCAGCCCGAUCGACCAUAACAGGCCUAGGUAAGUUUGUGGAGUUCUCUCAAAAAAGAGGAAAGUUUGUGGCGUUGUCUCAAAAAAAAAAGGUAAGUUUGUGGAGCAGCGGCCCUAGAAACACCAGGCGAGGCUAGAGGACAACCGAUCGAUCUAAUCAAACGGUCAUGGACGUCAAAACGCUGUGAGCAGCCGUAACUCGAUCCGUUAUACUGUUUCUUAAUUAAUAUCAGCAAAAAUCUGGGUUAACGAAGUGAUCAAUAUAAUAGUCAACAAAACCAGUUUGAUAUGUACUUAAAUGCCCAAGAUCUUGUAAUUUUGAAUCAAGUAUUGUGAUUAGAGAAUCAAUUGACAUUUUAUUUAUUUAUUGCGGAAGAAUUGACAUUAUUUGUUGUAGCAUGUUAUUUUUCACUUUUAGAUUUCUAUCUCUUAUGCAAUGAAAUGAGUGGCCCCGUAAAAGUUAUGUUUCCCCUCACUGAAGACUACCCACAUGUUUCCCUCCAAAGAAAGUUCCUUACACGUUUCUCUUAAGUUUUUUAAUGCAAGCAUCUAGUAUAAAACUGAGCAAAAUUAUUGCUAUUGUCAGACUGCUUUUGUAAAAUAAGAUGUUUUGAUGAAUCUCUUUCUGCAAUUUUGGAUAUUCCAUAGGAAUGUCUAUCUGAAGUAGACCGGUCGUUUGAUCAGAUUUUGUUUUUUCUUUCCACGGUCACUCGCCUAUUGUUUGCCUAAAAGGUAUCAGGAUAUUAGCCAGGAAAGGUCGAUGAGCAGUGGAGCAUGGUGGCAGUUUUACCAGGAACCACACUACAAGCUCACCACAGCGCAAGUUUCCACCAAAAUAUGUACGAGUCACAACCCACAGGCCACAUGUCAAUGAGUCCAUCCAAACAUAGAGAUGGGCAUGCUGAAAAUCAGAAAACCAAAACCAGGUUUGACACAGCAAGGUAGAAGGCAAACAAUGAAUUAGACACACCAACUUUUGAGAUGAAGACGAUUAGUUUGAAAGCGACAGGUUUUAGGCAAGCUGGCUUCCAAGCAGGAGGUCAGCCUGGACACAAUGAACCAUACAGACAGAGUACAUCGACGCAGGUGGUAAACUGCUGAAACCAAACACUUCCAGUUUUCACCACAUGGAUAACAGAGAUACAGGCCAAUUCAUCGCAGCAUCAUUAACAGAGAUCACUUCCCGCCAAACAAGUAGCCCAGGGACGAGCCACCGCCGGGAGCAGCAUGAACCUUGGUUGAAGGACGGUCCUGCGAGGGUUAACGGAGUGAUCAGCCAUUUCUCAGCUCACAUGGUAAACAAAGACAAAAAAAUCAGAGCCCAAAAAUGAGGAACGAAUACCUUUUCAAUACUCAAAAAUCAAAACAUUCAAGUAGUCCGAAUAACAAAAGAUUCUUUAACCCAUUUCUUUAGCAUUACAUUUCAGGGGGAAAAUGAACCGUUACAUUCUUUUUAAACUAUUAACUAUAGUAACAAAUAACACGGCGAGAUAAAUUCUUGGUGGCUUAACAUGAACCCCACAUAGGUAGUUGCAAAAACUGUACUGGGCAGAUGACUCUUUUAGCAAAAAGAAUUAAUGAUGGAGGCUAACAGUGAUUAAACUUAUGACAAUGGAAACUUCUGAUAUGCCUCACAGAUGAAAUUAAAGGGGAAAUAGCUGGAUCGAAUUGGGUUCAUUACAAGGAAAAAAAAACAUACCGUAAGGAAGUUGCCCGUGUUCUGGCCAUCUGCACGGUAGUAGUUGUUCGCCCGGCUACCUGGAAUGCCAGCUGGAAUCUGCUUGGUUACAUCGGCAGCUGCCAGUGCUGGUUUCUCAGCAGGUGCUGGCUUCGCAGCUGGUGCUGCAGCAGGCUUUGCAGGCUCACCAUCUCCAAACAGGUAACCCAGAGAACUUUGACCACCUCCAGCACUCCCGCCACGACUCAUCUUGACUGUAAGAUAAAUAGGUAAAGUGCAACAUAUGAGUGAACAAGUUCAACAUGAUUGUCAGAGUGCAAUACAUUAAGAAACAGCAAAUGAAAUCAUCAGGGAUAAAAGUUUCCGAAAAAAUUCAGAUCUCAGAGAUAAACUACAUAAGCCAAGUGAAUCUUGAAAUCAUAUGUCCAUACCGGAUAUAUUUGACCACCAGUUGCAACAAAAAUGUUUAGAUAGUGGCAUUUCAAGAAAUAGCGUGGUAAUUUAGGAGCAGAAGACAGAAAAAAGCAUGCAUGCUGAACCAAGUCUUCAGACAAGAAUACUUGGUAAGAUUAAGUAACCAGUGCUGCUUAGACUGAAUGAAGUCAAACAGGGUCAGAUAUUAUCACAAGCCACAAGGUAUGCUGUCAAUUAAAGCAUAUAAUCUACACAGGUUAGGUAAGAUCCACUUCUGUGAAAAAAGAAAGAUAAAACUCUGAACAUGAGGAAAUAUAGUUUGAGUGCGGCCAUGAAAGAAUAUCUAACAGUUGCUUUUAAUAAGAACUUCGAACAAAGGGCAUAGAGUGUGCUUGCAGGACAUGUUGCUAAGGAUAAUGGUGGUUACCAGUCAAUACAGGGCAACCUGGAAAAUGAGGCAAUCCAAACCCAAAAUAUAACUCAAUCCAGGGCAACUAAUCAACAUCAAACAGUAGAUAUCCGCAGUAUUGCGUUUAGUGAAAACAUUUAGAUCUCUGUUAGAGUGCAUAAUCAAUAGAGGAGAUGAUAGCAUCUCGAAACCUUAUAUGGUUAAACCAAUGACAAAGACAAAUUUCAGCAUCUUUGGGUUGAGAAGAUAAAAAUAAGAGGGCAACAGGUCCCCCACCACGAAGUGCGGUUUGGAAACACGAUGAAGAAGUGAACUACACAUUCAUACAGACCAGCAAGUUAAU
rnacentral:lncRNA from 1 species